GGCACUCAGGUAGGUAAUGUCACAUCCCCCAAACAAGGCAUAUUUCAUCAACAAAACCUGCCCAAUAAUGCUUUCGGAAAAGCGAAAUUCCACCACCCCCCCUCGGAUACUUUCGGCAGCCCAACCAUGACAGGCCUCGAAAGCUAAAAAACUAAGAAAAUUUAAGGGAGCGACAAAUGUCGUAAAUUGGUUUCCUCAAGAUACUUACAAAUGUACGUAAAUUCCACAAUGACUGCUCCAUUUCCAUCAAAGAACAGUACAAUGUGCAAAUGGAAGGAAAGGCAUCACAUUAGUGCUUUAUCCCCAUCUCUCUUAAAACACCACAAACAACUCAGCUCUACAGACAAAAAACAAGAAGGAAAAAUAAUGACCAACUAACAAAUAGUCAGAAAUUUCCUUCAAGAUUACUUAUAUGGGCCCAAAAUGGGAACAGGAUUAGAAAACAUGGCUCCUCGUGAGAAUUUGGAAAUUUCCUCGAUAGUCAAGAAACAGCGGGUUUGCUAUCCCAGGCCUCUCUCACUCAAUAUAUCUGGGCAAUAUCGUCUUGAGAGAAUUCAACUUGUUCAUUAAAUGACUUGGUCCCAUGUUUACCAAUGUGUUUG
rnacentral:lncRNA from 1 species